rnacentral:rRNA from 1 species
AGAGUUUGAUCCUGGCUCAGGACGAACGCUGGCGGUGCGCUUUAUGCAUGCAAGUCGAGCGAAGCUUUUCAGUAGUUUACUACAGAAAAUGACUGAGCGGCGAACGGGUGAGUAACGCGUGAGCAAUCUACCUUAGUUACAGGGAUAGCCCGAGGAAACUCGGAUUAAUACCUGAUAUUCUUUAUUUCUCGCAUGAGAAUAAAAGGAAAGGUCAGCCGAACUAAGAUGAGCUCGCGUUCUAUCAGCUAGUUGGUGAGGUAAAAGCUCACCAAGGCUACGACGGAUAGCUGGUCUGAGAGGACGAUCAGCCACACUGGGACUGAGACACGGCCCAGACUCCUACGGGAGGCUGCAGCAGGGAAUAUUGUGCAAUGAACGAAAGUUUGACACAGCGACACCGCGUGUGGGAUGACGGAUCUAGGUUUGUAAACCACUUUCAGGAGGGAAGAAAAUGACGGUACCUCCAUAAGAAGCCCCGGCCAACUACGUGCCAGCAGCCGCGGUAAUACGUAGGGGGCGAGCGUUGUCCGGAUUUAUUGGGCGUAAAGAGCUCGUAGGCGGUUCAACAAGUCGGUCGUGAAAGUUCAGGGCUCAACCCUGAGAUGUCGAUCGAUACUGUUGUGACUAGGAUACGGUAGAGGUGAGUGGAAUUCCGAGUGUAGCGGUGAAAUGCGUAGAUAUUCGGAGGAACACCAAUUGCGAAGGCAGCUCACUGGGCCGCUAUCGACGCUGAGGAGCGAAAGCUAGGGGAGCAAACAGGAUUAGAUACCCUGGUAGUCCUAGCUGUAAACGAUGGAUACUAGACGUAGGAACUGGAUUGACGGUUUCUGUGUCGCAGCUAACGCGUUAAGUAUCCCGCCUGGGGAGUACGGUCGCAAGACUAAAACUCAAAGGAAUUGACGG